AUGAGUGAGGUCAGAGGUGCUGAGAGGUGAGGAGUGGCCUAGCGACGA
rnacentral:snoRNA from 1 species